ensembl:lncRNA
AAGAGAGCCAGUAUUUACUUCUUUGCAAAAACUGUUCACACACAUUUAUCGAACUCGCUAAAGCACCUGACUACGAGAUCCAAGCUUCUGACUGAAACACAGCAACUCAAACAACAAAACUCAGGAGCUCCGCAAUCUCCUGCCCAAAUAUCAAAACUCAAAGCUCUCUCUUUUGCUGUGUCCGUUGCUCUUUUGCUCCUCUUUCUCUCUUUCCCUGGCAUCUUUGGACAACGAGUACUUCUCCAAGAAGUCCAGCAUGUCUGACGGCUUUCUUUUCCCUGCACUGAACCUCAUCACUGCUGGGCUGGUGAUUGAUACUCCUGAAGAAAUACUUGCAGAUCUUCAAACAAAAUGCAAUAUAAAACAAAGGCCCUGAAGCAGCAAAUCAUCCCCACACCAUCUCACUUCCACCACCAUGCUUGACUGUUUGAGGAUCAUCAAGGUGUGUUUUGCAAAAAUUCAGAUGAGCCUUAAUGUUCUUCUGGGUUAGCAGUGGUUUUCACCUCACCACUCUUCCAUGGAUGCCAUUUUUGCCCAGUGUCUUUCUGAUCAUUUAAUCAUGAACAGUGACCUUUAUUGAUUCAAGAGAGGUCUGUAGGUCCUUUGUCCUUGUCUUUUUUGUGACUUCCUGGAUGAGUCGUUGCUGUGCUCCUGGAGGAAUUGUGGAAGGUCAGCCACUUCUGGGAAGGUUCAUUACUGUGACACGUUUUUUCCAUUUGGAGAUAAUGUUGUUCCCUGUUGUUCUUUAGAGUCCCAGAGCCUUUGAAAUAGCUUUGUAACCUGUCCCAGACUGAUGUAUUUCAAUCACCUUCUUCCUCAUCAUUUCUGGAAUUUCUUUCAUAAUGUGUUCCUGGGUAAGACAUUUUAACCAAGUUCAUGCUAUUGCCUGGUUGCAUCUAGUGCAGCCGAACCCCAAUGAAUGCAGUUUCAUAGAUUUCCGGAAUUUGUA